rnacentral:rRNA from 1 species
GACAGAGGGGGCAAGCGUUGCUCGGAAUUACUGGGCGUAAAGGGCGCGUAGGCGGGAUGGCAAGUCGGUCGUGAAAUCCUUCGGCUCAACCGAAGAACGUCGAUCGAUACUGCUGUUCUUGAGGGUUGCAGAGGAGACUGGAAUUCCCGGUGUAGCGGUGAAAUGUGUAGAGAUCGGGAGGAACACCGGUGGCGAAGGCGGAUCUCUGGACAGUUCCUGACGGCUGAGGCGCG